AUACGUAGGUGGCGAGCGUUGUCCGGAAUUACUGGGUGUAAAGGGCGUGUAGGCGGGGAUGCAAGUCAGAUGUGAAAUUCCGGGGCUUAACUCCGGAGGUGCAUCUGAAACUGUAUUUCUUGAGUGCUGGAGAGGGAAGCGGAAUUCCUAGUGUAGCGGUGAAAUGCGUAGAUAUUAGGAGGAACACCAGUGGCGAAGGCGGCUUUCUGGACAGUAACUGACGCUGAGGCGCGAAAGCGUGGGGAGCAAACAGGAUUAGAUACCCUGGUAGUCCACGCUGUAAACGAUGGAUACUAGGUGUGGGAGGUAUCGACCCCUUCCGUGCCGGAGUUAACACAAUAAGUAUCCCACCUGGGGAGUACGGCCGCAAGGUUGAA
rnacentral:rRNA from 1 species